rnacentral:rRNA from 1 species
GAUGAACGCUGGCGGCGUGCCUAAUACAUGCAAGUCGAGCGAACAGACGAGGAGCUUGCUCCUCUGACGUUAGCGGCGGACGGGUGAGUAACACGUGGAUAACCUACCUAUAAGACUGGGAUAACUUCGGGAAACCGGAGCUAAUACCGGAUAACAUGUUGAGCCGCAUGGUUCAACAGUGAAAGACGGUCUUGCUGUCACUUAUAGAUGGAUCCGCGCCGCAUUAGCUAGUUGGUAAGGUAACGGCUUACCAAGGCAACGAUGCGUAGCCGACCUGAGAGGGUGAUCGGCCACACUGGAACUGAGACACGGUCCAGACUCCUACGGGAGGCAGCAGUAGGGAAUCUUCCGCAAUGGGCGAAAGCCUGACGGAGCAACGCCGCGUGAGUGAAGAAGGUCUUCGGAUCGUAAAACUCUGUUAUUAGGGAAGAACAAAUGUGUAAGUAACUAUGCACGUCUUGACGGUACCUAAUCAGAAAGCCACGGCUAACUACGU